rnacentral:lncRNA from 1 species
UUCUUUUCAAGCUUAGGCAUGCAGUGCAAGUUGUGUGUUCCUUGAGCUUUCUCAAAAUUGUACUGUGAGAUCAUUCCACAUGCAAUACAACUAGCUAUCCGACCAUGGAGUCUCAUAUCGGGAAGCACUUCUUGUCCACCAACAUUCUCAGAUUGUAUAUGUCUAUCCAGUACCUAAUUUAAACACCGAGAAGUUGAUCAAGUACAAUUGAUAAUUUGGACUAGUAAGAAAUGUAUGAUUGAAAAGAAAUUAUAAGUUCAAUAAUCACUUUCUUUGGUAAGUGUUAUGGCCUCGUCGUCUAGAGAGUACGGUAGAAUAUUUCGCAAGAAUAUCGUAAAGAUUUUUUCCUACUUUUAUCCGGCGUUUCGUGCUCUUCGCAAAAGACGUAUGUUAGAGGAUUGUCCAGAGAAUCGACUCAGGUAUGUUAAGGUUAAGCCCUUCCUUCAUUUUGGCAUGAUCCAAGUAACGAUAUGUAAAUGUAAUUCUAUUCCAUAAGUUCUUCUACUCUUAGAAGUUAAGGAUGCCUAUAUUAUUUAUUCCCAUAAAGUGAUAAAUCUAUAAACAUGUUUUGAUUAUGCCAAGUUGAUAUGUUCUUAGCGGGUGAUGCAAUUCUGUUUUUGCUUUGGCGAUAUUAUGGCGUGAAUGUUUUAUUCUUAAAACCACCAAAAAACUUAGUGGGACUACCGGUGAGAUUAGUUUCGACGGUUAUUAAGGUGUAUUCAAUCAAGAAUUAGCUUAGCAGUUAUCAGAACAAUUCAUGUUGAUAGUUGUAUCAUGUCUAGGAUUUAUAUACUUGAACAUUCAGACAACUUUUAUCAAACGGUGAGGUCCCUAAGUCAGAUGUGGCUUUAUUUAUUUUUUUCUUUUCUCCAUCAUCUUAAAGAAGAAACACUAAUUAUAGAGGCGACAUUUAUGACUUAGAAGAUUUCGAUUCUCUUACAACAGUUUUUUUGUAAUGGAUCUAGGUAAGUCUUCAUUACUGUGUAUUGAUUUAGUAAAGAAUAAAGAUCAUGAGAAUAUUGAUUAUUAGAUUCAUUCUACAAAUUUAAUUUAACAUGUCUAAGUAUGUAUCUAGUUUCCUACAGAGGUAUUUGAUAAAGAUGUUAAUGUUCAAAAUAUAGUAAUACAUGCAUCUUCAUGCAUAUGCAUUUACCACCGAGUUACAACUUGUUGGGCAGUUACAUAUUUACCACCGUGCUACGACCGGUUGGGCAGACAAGCAUAUUUAUUUACCACCAAGCUACGGCUGAUCGGGCAGUCAGGAAUUUACAACCAGGCUACGGCCGGUUGGACAAUUACCAGCGGUUGGGCAGUUAUGUAUUAUUAUUUACCACCGGUUGGGUAGUCAUACAUUUACCACCUUGCGAUGGCCGGUCGAGCAGUUACCACUGAUCAGUUGGGUAGUCAUGCAUCAUACGAUAUGGAUAAUAGUCUUAUAGAGAAGCAUUGUAUAUAUAUGAGUAAAAUAAGUAUGCAUAUACGGUGGCACUUCAGAGAUUUGGGUUAAUACUUAUAUGUCUUUAAUUAAUGUUGAAUUAUUAUUAUAUUUCAGUUCUACCUUACAUACUCAGUACAUUAUUCGUACUGACUUCCUUUUGUUGGGGACGUUGCAUUCAAGCCUACAGGUAUAGAUAAUCAGUUUGAUGAGCCCUCAUAGUAGAUGAGAUUGGCAUUUAGUGAAGGAUCGGUAAGACUCCACCUCAUUCGCAGUGCAACCGAGUCUAUGAGUUGUCGUGUAAGAGUUUUGUUAUAUACUUAUGAGUAGGCCGGUACCCUGUCCCAUUUGAUGUCAAAUAAUCUUAGAGGCUUUGUAGACAAAGGUUCAUUUUAUAUAGUAUAUCAGAGGCCUUGACAGCCCAUAUGUAUUCAUGUUUUAAGAAAAAAUAGUUCAUUGAUACAAUAUUUGCCCACUUAUAGUUAUACAUCAUGACUUGUGCUCAUGUUGGCCCAUGGUAGCUAGAAGAAAAAAAAAAGCUACAGAGUGGUUCGCUCUGGCCAGUACGACAGCGAGUGUCAGCCGCGCCUCCCCAGGUUCGGGGCGUGACAAAGUGGUAUCAGAGCGGGUCAUGUCCUAGGGAGUCUACAAAGCCGUUCCUAGUAGAGUCUCACUUAUGGAUGUGUUACGCGCCACAUUUAUAAUAGAGAGGCUCUAGGGCAUUUAGGAAAUGUUACCCUUCUAUUAUUUCCAGUUCGUGCCAUAGAGUUGAGUCGUAAGAAGUCGGUAUGAGUCUUUUGCUAAAUUUUGUAUGCAUCAGAGGUGCAGGUAUAAUUGUAGAGCUUUAAGGCGUAAUUUUCACCUAUGUGGAAGGAAGGUUUUGAAAGAAAUAGAAGAUACGAUGCGAUAUUAAAGGUAAGUCAAGUAAAGGUGAAGAAGAUACGAGAUGCUCAAGUACGAAAGGUUGUGAAUAGUCGAGACUUCGGAUAUAGUUUGGGUUUUAGUUUAAGUUACAGAGGAGACCCUAGUGAAAAUUUUGUAAAUCUCUCAGAGUUAACAUUCGAGGACGAAUAUUUUUAAAGGGGGAAGGAUGUUACAUCUCAUACUUUAAUAUUAGUAUGAGUCGUAGUAAUUCAUAUGAGCUUGAAGGGAUUAAUACCAUUCAUGAUAUUAUAGAGGAAUUGUAACUAUGUUAUUGUAAGACCCCGUAAGUUUAACAACCUUGAUACUGUUAGAUAUUAUGUUAGUGUGCUAUUUUGUUUUUAGUGGAGUAUUUUAGUAAUUGUUUUAUAAGUAUAACUUUGGAUAGUUAUUGUUAUUACUAUUUUAGGAUAUGAUAAAUUAUACUCAUAAUAUAAGAAAGUUUAUGAGAUUUUCUUUGUUAUAAAGAUAGAAAUUAUUUUCGCACAAGAAAAGGAGGUUAUCUUUUUACCAUUUUAAGAAUUAAGCGUACGAAAUUUUUUACUCUUUAUAUGAGAUUAGGAAAAUUAGAAGUUGAGAAAAUAUGUGCAUUUUUUACAUGGAUAUUUUAAUGAAAUAAUAGUAUUUGUAUUGAUUUUAUAUGGUACCACAUGACCAUGAUAGUAAAUUAUAUAAAGUGUAUUAAAAGUGAGUAGUAUUUUAAGUAAUUUGAGAUAAUUCUUAAUUACGUGGGCAAUUAAUGAUUUUUUUUUUUGUGGAAGAUUAAUUAAAAUCUUGGAAUAAUCAAAUAUUUUGGAUGUCUUAACCGUCCAAAACGUGGCAGCCCCACCAAUAUUCCAUUUAAUGACUCUUAAUUCAAUUUGAAAGGUGGCAACAUGUAAAGAGUUAGAACCUUAUCUCAUUUGGUUAAAAGAUAAAUGUAAUCAUGAACCAAGAAUGGUUCCAAUCGGAUCCUUUUCAAGAUUACGCAUGCAGUGCAAGUUGUGUGUUCCUUGAGCUUUCUCAAAGUUGUACUGUGAGAUCAUUCCACAACAAUACAACUAGCUAUCCGACAAUGGAGUCUCAUAUCGGGAAGCACUUCUUGUCCACCAACAUUCUCAGAUUGUAUAUGUCUAUUCCAGUACCUAAUUUGAACACCGAAAAGUUGAUCAAGUACAAUUGAUAAUUUGGACCAGUAAGAAAUGUAUGAUUGAGAAGGAAUUAUAGGUUAAAUAAUCAUUUUUAUUUUGGCAACUGUUAUGGCCUCUAUGACGACCCGGUCAGUCGUCUCAUGAGUUACCGCUCCGUUUUUUCUAUUUCUGCUUCUUUAUGCCUUGUUUAUCCGUAUUGUGUGGUAUCGGAUUGGUCGGAUCGAAUCCAAAAUGAUUUUGGUGAGGUUUGAGACACUUUGUCUCUUUUAAGAAAGUUUAAGUUGGAAAAGUCAAUAGGAUGUUGACUUAUCUGUUAGAGGGCUCAGAAAUGAAUUCCUAGGGUUUGGUUAACUUCGGGAGGUGAUUUGUGACUUAGGGGCAUGAUCAGAAUGAGUUUUGGAGGUUCAGAAUAGAUUUAGGCUUGAAUUGACAAAGUUGAUAUUUUGGCGAUUUCCAGUUGAUAGGCAUAAUUUUUAUAUAGGGGUCGGAAUAGAAUUUCAAGAGUUGCAGUAGUUUUGUCGUGUCAUUUGGGAUGUGUGUGCAAAAUUUAAGGUCAUCCGGACGUAGUUUGGUUGUGUUAUUGAUCAAAAGUAAAAUUCAGAAGAUUUUAGAAAGUUAGGCUUGAAUCCGAUGUGCUUUGGUAGAAUUGAUGUUUUUUGAGGUGUUUUGAAGAUUGGGACAAGUUUGGAUAAGGUAUUGGGAUAUGUUUGUGCUUUUGGUUGAGGUCCCGGAGGCUUCAGGUGAUUUCGAAUGUUUGAGUAAUGUUUGCAGGUGCUGAACUUUUGCUGCUUCUGGUAUUUCCGCACCUGCGGAUUGGGGACCGCAGGUGCGACGCCGCACGUGCGGGAGAUCGUCCGCAGAAGCAGAAAAAGGGCUGAUGAGCAGUGACUGCAAAAGCGAUUAAGGUGACAUCGCAGAUGCAGAAGGUUGACCGUAGAAGCAGUUUUAGCCGUUAAGUGAGGAACCGCAGAAGCGGUAUUUGGACGCAGCUGCGGAAAUGACUGGGCAGAAAGUGUAAAUUGUGGCCUUCACGAAAUUUGAGCUAUUUCACCUUUUUUUACUUCGACUUUGGAGGUUUUCGAAAGAGGAAUUUCAAGGGAACUUCAUUGAGGUAAGGAAUUUGGACCUAAAACUCGUUUCUAAGCUAUUAUUACAUGGAUUAGAGUUGGAAAUUAUAGAGAUUAAGGGUGAAAAUUGGGGAAACUAGGGCUUCAAAACUUAGGCCUUUGAUUGAGGAUUUGGUGAACCAUUUGAGGUCGGAUUUCAAAACUUUUGAUAUGUAUGAACUCGUGAGGAGAUAAGGAAUCUUUUGAUGUAAAAAUUAUUAAAUUCCAAGAUGUGCGCCCCGGGGUCGGGUUUUGGUAAUUUCGGAAUUUGUGUCGUAUUUCAAUUAUUUUCGCUUGGGUUUUGUUCCCUUAGCAUAUUUUGACGUCCUUGUUCUGAUUUUGGAUAGAUUCGACAUGAGUGGAGGCCGAUUCGAGGGGCAAAGGCAUCGUGAGCUACAGAUUUGACCGGUUCGAGGUGAGUAAUGAUUGUAAAUAUUGUUCUAAGGGUAUAAAACCCUGGACUUGCACAUCGUUGUGCUAUAUUAAGGUGAGGCACACGCUUGAUGACGAGCGUGGGGUUGUGCACUAUUGGGGAUUGUGACUUGGUCCGUUCCCAAUUGAUGGUUUUACCGCGUAUUUGACUGAAAUCUAUUUGUUAUCAUCAUGAUUUGGGCUGAAUGCCAUAUUUGGGCAUUGUGCCAACUAUUUGAACCCUUCGGGGAUUUUUACUAGUAUUUCCUCACUAUUUUGACUUUUUACUGAACUCAGCCAUGCUAUAUUUCACUAUUUUUCGUACUCAGCCAUGUUUACUCUAUUUUAACAGUUAAAUGAUCUUUUAAAUGAUAUUUUGGGCUAAGAAACAUGUUUUACUACUGCCCGAGUGCUUUGUUAGAGAUUUUGACUGAGUAAGACCGAUGACCUAUGUUGUGAGGAAAUAUUUGAUAUUGAUUAUAAGGCUGAGAGCCAGAGAUAUGUACGCCACGAGGUGGCUUGAUUGAUAUGAGGUCGAUGGCGUAGUGAUGAUUCCACGAGGUGGCUUGAUAUUGUGCUUGGGCCGUAAGGGGCCCCUCCAGGAGUCUGUACACCAUCAGUGCGCGUGGGUACCCAUUGUGAUGUGAUAUUGAGCCCGAGGGGUUGAUAUUGUUUUAUGUGAUUGCCCGAGGGGUUGGUACUGUUCUGAGAUGUUGCCAAAGGGGCGUAUUUGUUGAUACUGUACUCGAGGUGCGAACCUUUAUGUGCUUAUUUUUAAUAAUUGACUGUCAGUUACCUGCUUAAUUAUUGAAAAAGGCUUUUCAUGAAAUUACAAUUGAGAUAAAGAUUUUUGCCUAUCUUUCACUGAUUCUCUGAUUUUUAAAUUGUUUACUGAUUUAUUAUAGCAUGCUUUUGUGCCAUACCCAAUUUCUUGCUUUCAGUCUUUAUUUACAUUUGUUACUCACUGAGUUGGAGUACUCACUUUACUCCCUGCACCCCGUGUGCAGAUUCAGGCGUUAUUGAUCCUGCCAAUGCGAGUUGAGAGCUCCCGGCGGACAUUCGGAGUUCACGAGGUAGCUGUUUGGCAUCCGUAGUCCCUUGUUUCUCUUUCUUUGUCAUUCUUAUCUCUCUUCAGACAUGUGUACUAGCUUAUAGACUUAACAGACUUGUAUUAUGACUUAUUGAUGCUCAUGACUAGUAAAACCCUAGUAUCGGGCUGUGUUGGGUUGUUCUUCCGCGUAUUUACGAUAUUAUCUAUUACUUUGGUUUAUUUUAUCAUGUUUAGACUGUUUCUUA